rnacentral:lncRNA from 1 species
GAUUGAUCUGCCACCCACUCACAAACCCCCCUCAUUUGAGGAGAGAACAUUGUCAGUACCACAGAAAGAAGCUAUGCUUCAGAAAGAACAUUUUGCUUUGCAGAGCCAGUACAUAGAGAGAGAUGCUGGAAACUUGCAGCACAUGAAUGCUGUGAAUGGAAGGCAACUUACUUGUGGGGACGAAGAGCCACAGGAACAAGAGGGUCUUCAGCCUAUGUAUCCUGUUUAUCAGCAGACUUACUGCAAAAAUUGGAGCAACAGAUACCCACAAAACUCAGGACCUGGAAGAGUCUACAUCAAUCCAAGGGAACAUUAUGAACUGGGCACAUUCAUGUAAAUUGAGCAGCUGUUUUCAAUUUUAAAGUUUCCUGCUGUAUUUGAGACCUAAAGAAGGGUUUGUGUCCCCCAAAAAUGAUUUUCCAUUAUGUUAAAGUAGCUACCUCUUCACAUGAGUAUUGCCUCACCUACCCUUUCAUUACUGCAGCUCCAAAAAGCAUCAGCUGUCAGAACAUUUGAAACAAAACAGUGUCUUAGCCAAAUGAAUGACAGAACAUUGAGAUGAACUGUAUUGCUUAAGAUAAUUUGAUCAAUAUUACCGAGCAAAACUUGAUACCAAAAAUAUUUGAAUAGACGUUAUAGAAUGGUUCAAAACUGUUGCUGUGGCAGUGCUUCCUCUGCGUUCAUUAGUACAAUGUGGUAUUAAGCAAGUGAUCAUUUCAAUCCCUUUUGUGAAAAACAAUUACUUUGAUUUCAGACUCAGACCUCUUCUACUGCUUUUUAUAAUUAUUUGCAGAUACUUUUUUUUUUUUUUUUGGAAGAGUUAAAACUUUGGGGGAAGGAAGAAUGCUAUCAACAAAACUAUAAUUGUUUUUUUAAUUUGUAAAAAUAGUUUAAAAAAUAAAAAUUUAAUCCAACUGUGUUGUCCAAGUUACAUAUCAAGAAACUACAGAAAGAUUUGCAAACUACCCAUCAGGAUGUAGUUUGCCCUGAAGUUAUUAGGGAAGUACAUAAUCACCUACAGGUUUAUUACCUGUGAGAAACGGUUUCUUUGUAAUCUGUUCAGGGACAUUUAGUGUAUUAGGUUUUUUAAAUGUUACUUUUAAGUGUGGCUGGAUUUGGGGGGAGGGUGUUUGGCAUAGAAUGCUCAGAAGAGAACAGAAAAAAUGUCUGCUGAUUAGGCUUUCUCACCGAAAGGAUUGUACAUAUAGAAGUAAGUCUGAUCUGCUUUUAUAAGAUGUAGAAAAUGUCCUUUUUUAUUUUUGUACAUUUUCAAAUGCUUGUAUUUGUAAUUUGAUUGGAAUAAAAACAUUAAAAACAUAAAAUUUUCUUCUGUUGUUAAGAUUGCUUAAAAUGCAAAGUCUGGUAAAAUGCAUACACUUUUUUGGUGGUAUGUUUCUUCUGUGGUUGUAUAUGCAGAACAUGUUUUUUGUCCUAACAGUACCACUUUGAAAUAUUGUGGUGUUGCAUGCUGAAAUCCUUUCAACUUUUGUCUUACAUAACAGGAAGCAUGUGUGAAAAUCCUCCACUUGGGUGAACUGAACACCCAGGAUCACUGGUGAGGGAGGUAGGGAAUGAGAGGAAAAUUAGUAAUUCACAUCUCUAGCAUUGGUAAAUGUAAAUUGUCCUCUGCCUAAGUAUAUCUAAAUUCUACAAGGUAGUCUGUUUAUAAAAGGUAUAAGAUUUAAUGUUUGGAAUAUGUCCAAAAUAUAUAAUACAUAUAUAAUGGAUAUAAUAUAUAUAAUAUAUAUUAUAUUGUGGAUAUAAUACAAAUGAAAACUAAGAAAUUGUACUACUAAAAGUAAGGAAACACUUAACAAGGUAUUAUUAAAGGACUCCCACUGUUCAGUCACAAAUUAUCUAAUGUAUUGAGUAUUUGAGCUCAAGGAAAGCACAAUAAAAAUGUGUGAUAAUUCAUGAAGAGCGAAGGGAAACUUUUCACCUUCUGAGUUGUUAACUUUGCCUUUUUUCUAGCAAUGUUGCUGCUCUUUUGUCCUGUGAGGGAUGCAAGUUCAAGUGCUGUGUUAUUAUAUGUGUGAUUAAAAUUUAUUACAGUAACUUUUUAAUGCCACAGACCUGAAAUCGCUCUUAUCUGAACCACUGUGUUGUGUGAAGGCUGAGUGAGUGCUUUACCAACAAGUAGCUGCAGAGCAGAUGAAAUUGUUUGGACAACUUGGGCCACUUCAGAGGUUGCUGACUAGGACAGUUAAAGCUCCAGGUGAAAUAAAGGAAUGGCUGUGUAGUUUGUUGCUUGUCUGCCCUGUGGGAGGUGGCCUGGGGUUUUUUGUCCAUCUGUGGCACAUGUCCAGAGUAUUGGGAGACUAGGUUUGACCUUCUGACAGAAGGUGAAGGUGUGGUGUUUCUGUGACGUGCAUUUAUUAAAAGGUAUGUGGUGAAUAGCUUAAUACCUUCAGCUGAAUUAUGUUGAAAAUGCACAAAAAAUACAUUGUGAAUCUUAGUAGUAAUUAUUCAAGCAAUGUGAGAAACCCAAGUAGGAUGUGUUAGGCUUUUUAAUCUGCACUGACAACCCCACAGUGGAAUUUUUUCUAUACUUGUUUUGUGAUCCUAGUUUUGGUUUUAUGCUGUAUCUAAAUCUAGAUUCUUCAACUGGCACCAGGAAAUAAAUUGUAUUUAAAAGCCUACAGGUUCAACUGUGACUCUUCUACACCUUUGUGGGACUAGUAAUCAGGACUGUAAAUUGGAAUUUACCUAUUUUGAGACCAAGCUGGAAAUCAAGCAGACUCCAGCUUCCUCAUCAACUAAGAUAAAUUUGCAUUUCUAUGCAGGGCUAUGCACAAAAUUCAUAGAGUGUGCUAAAUAUAUUAAAACGUCAUUUCAAUUUGACUGAGUUUAGCCACAGAUUUAUUACAUUCCCAUCUGAAAUUUUAUUAGGUUA